ACGAAGCACACACACAGAGCGCAUGCCCUCCCUCGGGAGCUGCGUCUCCUCGUCGUUCCAAGAACAGCUUUGGGAGAAAGUCCCCGGACAUCCGGUUCUUCGCAAUCGGCAUUUUCAGCAACGAACC
rnacentral:SRP_RNA from 1 species